GACGAACGCUGGCGGCGUGCUUAACACAUGCAAGUCGAACGGAAAGGCCCUGCUUUUGUGGGGUGCUCGAGUGGCGAACGGGUGAGUAACACGUGAGUAACCUGCCCUUGACUUUGGGAUAACUUCAGGAAACUGGGGCUAUUACCGGAUAGGAGCUCCUGCUGCAUGGUGGGGGUUGGAAAGUUUCGGCGGUUGGGGAUGGACUCGCGGCUUAUCAGCUUGUUGGUGGGGUAGUGGCUUACCAAGGCUUUGACGGGUAGCCGGCCUGAGAGGGUGACCGGCCACAUGGGGGCUGAGAUACGGCCCAGACUCCUACGGGAGGCAGCAGUGGGGAAUAUUGCACAAUGGGCGGAAGCCUGAGGCAGCAACGCCGCGUGCGGGAUGACGGCCUUCGGGUGGUAAACCGCUUUCGCCUGUGACGAAGCGUGAGUGACGGUAAUGGGUAAAGAAGCACCGGCUAACUACGUG
rnacentral:rRNA from 1 species